rnacentral:rRNA from 1 species
CGCUCAGGUGCGAAAGCGUGGGGAGCAAACAGGAUUAGAUACCCUGGUAGUCCACGCCGUAAACGAUGUCGAUUUGGAGGUUGUGCCCUUGAGGCCUGGCUUCCGGAGCUAACGCGUUAAAUCGACCGCCUGGGGAGUACGGCCGCAAGGUUAAAACUCAAAUGAAUUGAUGGGGGCCCGCACAAGCGGUGGAGCUUGUGGUUUAUUUUUAUGCACCGCGCAUAACCUUACCUGGUCUUGACAUCCACAAAACUUUCCCCAUAUGGAUUGGUGUUUUCGGGAAUUGUGACACAGGCCCUCCCUGGCUGUCGUCAGCUCGUGUUGUGAAAUGUUGGUAAGUCCGCAACGAGCGCAACCCUUAUCCUUUGUUGCAGCGGGUUAGGCCGGGGAAACUCAAAAGGAGACUGCCAGUGAUAAACUGGGAGGAAAGGUGGGGGAUGACGUCAAGUCAUCAUGGCCCCUUUACGACCCAGGGGCUACACACGUGCUACAAAUGGGCGCAUACAAAGAGAAGCGACCCUCGCGAGAGCAAGCGGACCUCAUAAAGUGCGUCGUAGUCCGGGAUUGGAGUCUGCAACUCGACUCCAUGAAGUCGGAAUCGCUAGUAAUCGUAGAUCAGAAUGCUACGGUGAAUACGUUCCCGGGCCUUGUACACACCGCCCGUCACACCAUGGGGAGUGGGUUGCAAAAGAAGUAGGUAGCUUAACCUUCGGGAGGGCGCUUACCACUUUGUGAUUCAUGACUGGGGUG